CAAUAAUGCAAGAAGAAAGUCGAUCAUAAUAAUGGUUGGCAUCAAGAAAAAGAAAAUCAUUCUCAUAAUAGCAUGGUUUUCUUUUUCCUUUUAUUCUUUUAACUCAAUUGAAUCAGUGAAUCACCAUGAUGGAAUUGGAGUUUUUGUAUAUGCGAGCCAAUUAUCUAUUCUAGCUGAUUUGUAUUAAUCCAGACACAUGUUUGGAAAUAUACAGCUAGAAUAAUAUAAUAAAGGCACCAAGCUCCAUCCAUAUAGAUCUGACCCAACAGAGAAGAUAUUAUCCAAUGUAAUCUCUUUUUCUUUUGGGAUGAUCCAAAAGAGAGAACUAAGAGAUGGUCCUGAGGGAGAUAAUCAAAGGUCAAAUUGUUAUAGAGUUUAAUCAUAUAGUUUGAUUUCUAGAGACGUUUUGACCGAUGAUAUCUACUUGAACCUUCGAUGUUCUCUUAUUAAUUAAUAUGUAUUGAAAAAUAAAGGACUAAAAGAGAUGCAUUGGCAAAAUGUACCUCUCUUCUGUAUAGAAUAUGGAUAUGAGAA